UACAGAGGUCUCAAGCGUUGUUCGGAUUCAUUGGGCGUAAAGGGUGCGUAGGCGGCGCGGUAAGUCGGGUGUGAAAUCUUGGAGCUUAACUCCGAAACUGCAUUCGAUACUGCCGUGCUUGAGGACUGGAGAGGAGACUGGAAUUUACGGUGUAGCGGUGAAAUGCGUAGAUAUCGUAAGGAAGACCAGAGGCGAAGGCGGCUACCUGGACAAUUGCUGACGCUCAGGCACGAAAGCGUGGGGAGCAAAAGGG
rnacentral:rRNA from 1 species